GAGUGCGCAUGCUAUACAUGCAGUCGAACGAACUCUGGUAUUGAUUGGUGCUUGCAUCAUGAUUUACAUUUGAGUGAGUGGCGAACUGGUGAGUAACACGUGGGAAACCUGCCCAGAAGCGGGGGAUAACACCUGGAAACAGAUGCUAAUACCGCAUAACAACUUGGACCGCAUGGUCCGAGUUUGAAAGAUGGCUUCGGCUAUCACUUUUGGAUGGUCCCGCGGCGUAUUAGCUAGAUGGUGAGGUAACGGCUCACCAUGGCAAUGAUACGUAGCCGACCUGAGAGGGUAAUCGGCCACAUUGGGACUGAGACACGGCCCAAACUCCUACGGGAGGCAGCAGUAGGGAAUCUUCCACAAUGGACGAAAGUCUGAUGGAGCAACGCCGCGUGAGUGAAGAAGGGUUUCGGCUCGUAAAACUCUGUUGUUAAAGAAGAACAUAUCUGAGAGUAACUGUUCAGGUAUUGACGGUAUUUAACCAGAAAGCCACGGCUAACUACGUGCCAGCAGCCGCGGUAAUACGUAGGUGGCAAGCGUUGUCCGGAUUUAUUGGGCGUAAAGCGAGCGCAGGCGGUUUUUUAAGUCUGAUGUGAAAGCCUUCGGCUCAACCGAAGAAGUGCAUCGGAAACUGGGAAACUUGAGUGCAGAAGAGGACAGUGGAACUCCAUGUGUAGCGGUGAAAUGCGUAGAUAUAUGGAAGAACACCAGUGGCGAAGGCGGCUGUCUGGUCUGUAACUGACGCUGAGGCUCGAAAGUAUGGGUAGCAAACAGGAUUAGAUACCCUGGUAGUCCAUACCGUAAACGAUGAAUGCUAAGUGUUGGAGGGUUUCCGCCCUUCAGUGCUGCAGCUAACGCAUUAAGCAUUCCGCCUGGGGAGUACGGCCGCAAGGCUGAAACUCAAAGGAAUUGACGGGGGCCCGCACAAGCGGUGGAGCAUGUGGUUUAAUUCGAAGCUACGCGAAGAACCUUACCAGGUCUUGACAUACUAUGCAAAUCUAAGAGAUUAGACGUUCCCUUCGGGGACAUGGAUACAGGUGGUGCAUGGUUGUCGUCAGCUCGUGUCGUGAGAUGUUGGGUUAAGUCCCGCAACGAGCGCAACCCUUAUUAUCAGUUGCCAGCAUUAAGUUGGGCACUCUGGUGAGACUGCCGGUGACAAACCGGAGGAAGGUGGGGAUGACGUCAAAUCAUCAUGCCCCUUAUGACCUGGGCUACACACGUGCUACAAUGGAUGGUACAACGAGUUGCGAACUCGCGAGAGUAAGCUAAUCUCUUAAAGCCAUUCUCAGUUCGGAUUGUAGGCUGCAACUCGCCUACAUGAAGUCGGAAUCGCUAGUAAUCGCGGAUCAGCAUGCCGCGAUGUGGAGUACUAAGA
rnacentral:rRNA from 1 species